ACCAGGAUGGCUGAGUGGUUAAGGUGUUAGACUUAAGAUCCAAUGGACUUAUGUUCAUGUGGGUUCAAACCCCACUCCUGGUA